UGUGUAGGCGGUUUUCUAAGUUUGGUGUGAAAUCUCCCGGCUCAACCGGGAGGGUGCGCCGAAAACUGGGAGACUAGAGUGCGGGAUGGGAGAGUAGAAUUCCUGGCGUAGCGGUGAAAUGCGUAGAUAUCAGGAGGAAUACCGGUGGUGUAGACGGCUCUCUGGACCGCCACUGACGCUGAGACACGAAAGCGUGGGUGAAACA
rnacentral:rRNA from 1 species